UACGUAGGGGCCUAGCGUUGUCCGGAUUCAUUGGGCGUAAAGGGUGCGUAGGUGGCGCGCUAAGUCAGGUGUGAAAUUUCGGAGCUUAACUCCGAAACUGCAUUUGAUACUGGCGUGCUUGAGGACUGGAGAGGAGACUGGAAUUUACGGUGUAGCAGUGAAAUGCGUAGAGAUCGUAAGGAAGACCAGUGGCGAAGGCGGGUCUCUGGACAGUUCCUGACACUGAGGCACGAAGGCCAGGGGAGCAAACGGG
rnacentral:rRNA from 1 species